rnacentral:tRNA from 1 species
CGGGGCGUAGCGUAGCCUGGUUCAACGCGCGUGCUUUGGGAGCACGAGAUCGCGGGUUCAAAUCCCGCCGCCCCGACCA